UGCAAGGGGAUCAGAAGUAUCCCUCUCCCGUGCGUGCACGAGGAGAGGGAUACUUCUGAAGCCCCGCCAGAAUAUGAGGAAGGAGUGGGGAAGGGACCCCACGGAUUCCGAAUAUUCUGUAGGAUUGCGGGAGCGCAGGGCGCGGAGCAAUCCGUGU
rnacentral:sRNA from 1 species